rnacentral:sRNA from 1 species
UGAGCUUACGGACCAAACCUACGGUUAAU